rnacentral:rRNA from 1 species
UACAGAGGGUGCGAGCGUUAAUCGGAAUUAUUGGGCGUAAAGAGCUCGUAGGCGGUGUGUCGCGUCGGCCGUGAAAACCUGUGGCUUAACUAUGGGCUUGCGGUCGAUACGGGCAUCACUGGAGUUCGGCAGGGGAGACUGGAAUUCCUGGUGUAGCGGUGAAAUGCGCAGAUAUCAGGAGGAACACCGGUGGCGAAGGCGGGUCUCUGGGCCGAUACUGACGCUGAGGAGCGAAAGCGUGGGGAGCAAACAGG